GGGGCAGUGCGGGCGUGCUAUCAUGCAAGUUGAGCGCUGAAGGUUGGUACUUGUACCGACUGGAUGAGCAGCGAACGCGUUAGAAACGCGUGGGGAAUCUGCCUUUGAGCGGGGGACAACCUUUGGAAACGAAUGCUAAUACCGCAUAAAAACUUUAAACACAAGUUUUAAGUUUGAAAGAUGCAAUUGCAUCACUCAAAGAUGAUCCCGCGUUGUAUUAGCUAGUUGGUGAGGUAAAGGCUCACCAAGGCGAUGAUACAUAGCCGACCUGAGAGGGUGAUCGGCCACAUUGGGACUGAGACACGGCCCAAACUCCUACGGGAGGCAGCAGUAGGGAAUCUUCGGCAAUGGACGAAAGUCUGACCGAGCAACGCCGCGUGAGUGAAGAAGGUUUUCGGAUCGUAAAACUCUGUUGGUAGAGAAGAACGUUGGUGAGAGUGGAAAGCUCAUCAAGUGACGGUAACUACCCAGAAAGGGACGGCUAACUACGUGCCAGCAGCCGCGGUAAUACGUAGGUCCCGAGCGUUGUCCGGAUUUAUUGGGCGUAAAGCGAGCGCAGGUGGUUUAUUAAGUCUGGUGUAAAAGGCAGUGGCUCAACCAUUGUAUGCAUUGGAAACUGGUAGACUUGAGUGCAGGAGAGGAGAGUGGAAUUCCAUGUGUAGCGGUGAAAUGCGUAGAUAUAUGGAGGAACACCGGUGGCGAAAGCGGCUCUCUGGCCUGUAACUGACACUGAGGCUCGAAAGCGUGGGGAGCAAACAGGAUUAGAUACCCUGGUAGUCCACGCCGUAAACGAUGAGU
rnacentral:rRNA from 1 species